rnacentral:rRNA from 1 species
CGACAGGCCUAACACAUGCAAGUCAGGGGCAGCACAGGAGCAAUCUGAGUGGCGACCGGCGCACGGGUGAGUAACACGUAUGCAACCUGCCUGUAAGCGGGGAAUAACCCGUUGAAAGACGGACUAAUACCGCAUAAUACUAAAUUACUGCAUGGUAAUUUAUUUAAACAUUUAUGGCUUACAGAUGGGCAUGCGCAUGAUUAGCUAGUUGGAGAGGUAACGGCUCCCCAAGGCAACGAUCAUUAGGGGUUCUGAGAGGAAGGUCCCCCACACUGGUACUGAGACACGGACCAGACUCCUACGGGAGGCAGCAGUGAGGAAUAUUGGUCAAUGGACGAGAGUCUGAACCAGCCAAGUCGCGUGCAGGAAGAAUGUCCUUAAUGGAUUGUAAACUGCUUUUGCAGGGGAAUAAAGUGCAUCACGUGUGAUGUUUUGUAUGUACUCUGCGAAUAAGGAUCGGCUAACUCCGUGCCAGCAGCUGC